GUAGGCGGCACCUUCCAUCUUUCGACUUUCGAAGUGACUGAUCUUAUCACGCCAGAAAAGUGUUCUACAUCAAAAAGAUCUUUUUUCCUCGUUCGCAAGGAAGCAUAGUAGGGCUGGUUUAAUAUCUCAAAAUACAUCCAGAAAUACCGCCAAGAGGUAAUUGCGUUACUUCAAGCAACCCAAUGUCUGACAGAGUCACGCUUUUCGUAUCCACCAACACUAUGCAGACGCGCGCUUUCCGAAGUCACUCAUACAACCCCCCUCCCCCAACACCCUUAUCUCAACGAUCCAGACGAACAUUGAGCCUCCCAGCCCGAGAGAAGCCUUUAAUACCACCUGUGAUUUCGGAAAAUCCCGAGUACUUCCAAACGGUUCACGAGCAAUGCCUUAGUGAGGAUCAACCAUGUUCCAGAGAAGCUUGUGACGACGUCGGUUGGAUAUCUCCGAUUAUAGGAUUUUUAAUCAGUCUCUUCCUAUUUGCUUGGGCGUGCCUACUUUCAAUGUCCGUAAAUGGUAGAGAAGAUUCAUGGUGAUCCUUGAAUCUCACUGGUUCUUCAUAAUUCUCUUUUCAAGAUGUACAACGAACGAUCAUUUAAGUAACAUGUUUAAAAAAAAAUUAUCAUCAUCAUCGUCGUCAUCGUCUUCAUCGUCAUUUUCGUCGUCAUCGUCAUCAUUCUAAUCAUCAUAAAGAAAAUGAUCUCCAUUUAUUCCUUGUACUCGGAGACAAACAAAAUCUUUUUGACUAAAAACAAAAGUAAAAUGUAGAAUAUUUAAUAAGUUGAAGACGGCAAUUAUUGUUUCCUUUAAAUUUUCCUAUUAUAGUAGACCCUGUAUUGAGCGGUCACCCACGGGGAACGGCGUGACCGCCUUAUAUAGGUUAACUGCUUAAUGCAGGUUCCACAGAAUAAACAAUAAAC